UACGAAGGGGGCUAGCGUUGCUCGGAAUCACUGGGCGUAAAGCGUGCGUAGGCGGCUUUUUAAGUCAGGGGUGAAAUCCUGGAGCUCAACUCCAGAACUGCCUUUGAUACUGAAGAGCUUGAGUUCGGGAGAGGUGAGUGGAACUGCGAGUGUAGAGGUGAAAUUCGUAGAUAUUCGCAAGAACACCAGUGGCGAAGGCGGCUCUCUGGACCGGUACUGACGCUGAGGCGCGAAAGCGUGGGGAGCAAACAGG
rnacentral:rRNA from 1 species